rnacentral:rRNA from 1 species
GACGAACGCUGGCGGCGUGCUUAACACAUGCAAGUCGAACGGAAAGGCCCUGCUUUUGUGGGGUGCUCGAGUGGCGAACGGGUGAGUAACACGUGAGUAACCUGCCCUUGACUUUGGGAUAACUUCAGGAAACUGGGGCUAAUACCGGAUAGGAGCUCCUGCUGCAUGGUGGGGGUUGGAAAGUUUCGGCGGUUGGGGAUGGACUCGCGGCUUAUCAGCUUGUUGGUGGGGUAGUGGCUUACCAAGGCUUUGACGGGUAGCCGGCCUGAGAGGGUGACCGGCCACAUUGGGACUGAGAUACGGCCCAGACUCCUACGGGAGGCAGCAGUGGGGAAUAUUGCACAAUGGGCGGAAACCUGAUGCAGCAACGCCGCGUGCGGGAUGACGGCCUUCGGGUUGUAAACCGCUUUCGCCUGUGGCGAAGCGUGAGUGACGGUAAUGGGUAAAGAAGCACCGGCUAACUACGUG